rnacentral:rRNA from 1 species
CCUACGGGUUGCACCAGUGGGGAAUCUUGCGCAAUGCGCGAAAGCGUGACGCAGCAACGCCGCGUGGGGGAAGAAGGCCCUCGGGUUGUAAACCCCUUUCAGUUGGGACGAAGCUUCGCCGGUGAAUAGCCGGCUGGAGUGACGGUACCUUCACAAGAAGCCCCGGCUAACUACGUGCCAGCAGCCGCGGUAAUACGUAGGGGGCUAGCGUUGUCCGGAAUCAUUGGGCGUAAAGAGCGUGUAGGCGGCCCGGUAAGUCCGCUGUGAAAGUCGGGGGCUCAACCCUCGAAAGCCGGUGGAUACUGUCGGGCUAGAGUGCGGAAGAGGCGAGUGGAACUCCUGGUGUAGCGGUGAAAUGCGCAGAUAUCAGGAGGAACACCGAUUGCGAAGGCAGCUCGCUGGGACGUAACUGACGCUGAGACGCGAAAGCGUGGGGAGCAAACAGGAUUAGAUACCCGCGUAGUC